GAAUUGUUCGCAAUGGGCGCAAGCCUGACGACGCAACGCCGCGUGGAGGAUGAAGGUCUUCGGAUUGUAAACUCCUGUUGAUCGGGAAGAAUGGACCCCGGGUGAAUACGCCGGGGUAUUGACGGUACCGAUUGAGGAAGCCACGGCUAACUCUGGUCCAGCAGCCGCGGUAAUACAGAGGUGGCAAGCGUUGUUCGGAAUUACUGGGCGUAAAGGGCGCGUAGGCGGUUGCCUAAGUCGGACGUGAAAUCCCCAAGCUUAACUUGGGAACUGCGUCCGAUACUGGGUGACUUGAGUUCGGGAGAGGAAUGUGGAAUUCCAGGUGUAGCGGUGAAAUGCGUAGAUAUCUGGAGGAACACCGGUGGCGAAGGCGGCAUUCUGGACCGAAACUGACGCUGAGGCGCGAAAGCCAGGGGAGCAAACGGG
rnacentral:rRNA from 1 species